rnacentral:rRNA from 1 species
CAGCCGCCGCGGUAAUACGAAGGGGGCUAGCGUUGCUCGGAAUGACUGGGCGUAAAGGGCGCGUAGGCGGCGAUCAAAGUCAGGCGUGAAAUUCCUGGGCUCAACCUGGGGGCUGCGCUUGAUACUUGGUUGCUUGAGUGGGGAAGAGGGUCGUGGAAUUCCCAGUGUAGAGGUGAAAUUCGUAGAUAUUGGGAAGAACACCGGUGGCGAAGGCGGCGACCUGGUCCUUGACUGACGCUGAGGCGCGAAAGCGUGGGGAGCAAACAGGAUUAGAUACCCCGGUAGUCCCUGUCUCUUAUAC